GAAGUGAGCAUAGAUUUUACUGGAUAAUUUUUGUGAUUGGGGGAAAAAAAAAGGAUUCUUUCUAAAUUUAUUUUGUACAAAUUCCUAAGGUAUUUUGUAAUGAAUGCAGUUAUAAAUAGGAUUAAGACCCAUAAAAAACAUAAAUAAUAGAUGAAAUACCAUAUCUAUUGCAUGGUCCACUCUUCCACUGAUCACUUACCUUGCAAAGUCACGAAUCUCCAACUAUGUCAGUUACCUGAGCAGAUUCACCUAGAGGAGUGAAUCUAC
rnacentral:lncRNA from 1 species